AUCGAAGUAUUCUUGAAAGAAACUCGAGUCGAAAUUUUUGUAAGGAUAAAGAAAAAAUAUUAAUAUUUUAAACAUACCAUUUUGAUCUGUGGUUGCAUUGAUGAGACUUUCUGUUAUCAACUUUUGGCCCUCAGGUGAUUUUACAACAUUUUCAAGCUUUGGGGUGGAAAAUGUAUGCACUAAUCCUGUUUCUGAAACAACCAAAACCAUUACUUCGCUCCCGGUCAAAAGAGCUAGUUCAUUUGCCUAAUAAUUAUUAGAAAAACAAUACAUUACUAAAAAUUAAAUUUCGCUCUAACUUGAAAUCUCACAAUUGCCAGGGAUUUUUACCUUUUUAAAAAUUCCAGCUUUUCUUUUAGUAAAAGUAUUUUGCCUUUUUUGUCUGUCUUCCAAAUAGCUAUUUCCCUGUGAACUUCCAGUAUACGCUUUCUCACCAUCUAUUUGAAAGUUUGAAAGCUUUCUUUCAUCCAUCAUUUAGAAGGUAAAUUGUCGAUUUUUUAAACAAACUGACACACUUGAAAAUGUGUGUUUCUUUGUUACAAAUUGUAAAGUUCAAGUUAGGUUAAAUUUCCUAAAUUCCAAGUAACUUUCAUUUAUACCUUAUAACGAACUUGGAGUUCGUUAAAAUUCGGUUAUUACACUAAACAAGAUCAAACGUUUCACAUUUACCCAAAUUAUAACAACAACUCAUAAAUAACAAUAUUGCCAGUGGUAAUUAUUUGCUUUUUCUGCUCUUAUUAAAUGAGAUUAAAGUGAUUUAAAUGGAACGUUUGAAUAUCUUUUAC